AGUGGCGAACGGGUGAGUAACACGUAGGAACCUGCCCUGAAGUGGGGGACAACCCUGGGAAACUAGGGCUAAUACCGCAUAAUCCCGCAAGGGUAAAGAAUGAUUACAUUCGCUUCAAGAUGGUCCUGCGGUCUAUCAGCUAGUUGGUGGGGUAAUGGCCUACCAAGGCGACAACGGAUAGCCGGCUUGAGAGGGCGAUCGGCCACACUGGCACUGAGACACGGGCCAGACUCCUACGGGAGGCAGCAGUUAAGAAUCUUGCGCAAUGGGGGAAACCCUGACGCAGCCACGCCGCGUGAGCGAUUAAGGCUUUCGGGUUGUAAAGCUCAGUAAGAUGGGAAGAAUAAGCAGGGUCUAAUAGGCCCUGUGAUGACUGUACCAUCCUAAAGCCCCGGCCAAUUACGUGCCAGCAGCCGCGGUAAUACGUAAGGGGCGAGCGUUGUUCGGAUUUAUUGGGCGUAAAGGGCACGCAGGCUGGCUACAAAGUUGGAUGUAUAAUCGUCAGGCUCAACCUGAUACCUGCAUCCAAAACUGGUAGUCUAGAGUUCUGGAGGGGAAAGCGGAAUUCUCGGUGUAGCGGUGGAAUGCGUAGAUAUCGAGAGGAACACCAAUGGCGAAGGCAGCUUUCUGGACAGUAACUGACGCUCAGGUGCGAAAGCGUGGGGAGCAAACAGGAUUAGAUACCCUGGUAGUCCACGCCCUAAACGUUGUGCACUAGGUGUCGGGGGUUUCAACGCCUUCGGUGCCGCAGCUAACGCAUUAAGUGCACCGCCUGGGGAGUAUGCCCGCAAGGGUGAAACUCAAAGGGAUUGACGGGGGCCCGCACAAGCGGUGGAGCAUGUGG
rnacentral:rRNA from 1 species